rnacentral:rRNA from 1 species
GACGAACGCUGGCGGCGUGCUUAACACAUGCAAGUCGAACGGAAAGGCCCUGCUUUUGUGGGGUGCUCGAGUGGAGAACGGGUGAGGAACACGUGAGUAACCUGCAAUUGACUUUGGGAUAAGUUCAGGAAACUGGGGGUAAUACCGGAUAGGAGCUCCUGCUGCAUGGUGGGGGUUGGACAGUUUCGGCGGUUGGUGAUGGACUCGCGGCUUAUCAGCUUGUUGGUGGGGUAGUGGCUUACCAAGGCUUUGACGGGUAGCCGGCCUGAGAUGGGUACCUGCCACAUUGGAACUGGGAUGAGACCCAGACUCCUACGGGAGGCAGCAGUGGGGAAUAUUGCACAAUGGGCGGAAGCCUGAUGCAGCCACGCCGCGUGCGGGAUGACGGCCUUCGGGUUGUAAACCGCUUUCGCCUGUGACGAAGCGUGAGUGACGGUAAUGGGUAAAGAAGCACCGGCUAACUACGUG